rnacentral:rRNA from 1 species
AUGGGCGGAAGCCUGAUGCAGCGACGUCGCGUGAGGGAUGGAGGCCUUCGGGUUGUGAACCUCUGUUUCCGGUGGUGAAGGCCCUGUCCGUGUGGUGGGGUUGACGGUAGCCGGGGAUGAAGCGCCGGCUAACUACGUGCCAGCAGCCGCGGUAAUACGUAGGGCGCGAGCGUUGUCCGGAAUUAUUGGGCGUAAAGGGCUUGUAGGCGGCUGGUCGCGUCUGCCGUGAAAUUCUCCGGCUCAACCGGGGGCUUGCGGUGGGUACGGGCCAGCUGGAGUGCGGUAGGGGAGGCUGGAACUCCUGGUGUAGCGGUGGAAUGCGCAGAUAUCAGGAGGAACACCGGUGGCGAAGGCGGGUCUCUGGGCCGUUGACUGACGCUGAGGAGCGAAAGCGUGGGGAGCGAACAGGAUUAGAUACCCUGGUAGUCCACGCCGUAAACGUUGGGCACUAGGUGUGGGGGCGCCUGGUUUUACUGGGUGGUUCCGCGCCGCAGCUAACGCAUAAAGUGCCCCGCCUGGGGAGUACGGCCGCAAGGCUAAAACUCAAAGGAAUUGACGGGGGCCCGCACAAGCGACGGAGCAUGCG